GUUUAUGGCCAUACCACCCUGAAUGUACCUGAUAUUGAAAGCUAAGUAGGGUUGGGCCUGGUUAGUACUUGAAUAGGAGAAAGGGGUGGUGGUGGCUU
ensembl:rRNA 5S_rRNA 5S ribosomal RNA